rnacentral:lncRNA from 1 species
AAUUGAGAGUAUAUGGUUAAGUCAAUCCUACACAUUUUUAUUGAGUUCUGUGUGUUAGGAACUAUGCUAGCCACUUCAGAGAACAAAAAUAAGUCAAAAUAAGUCAGAAACAAUACAUUGCCUCACAGAGACAAGAAAAAUGUCUUGAGCAAAAUGAUAAAGCCAUAAUGUAUAAACAAAAUACCAGGAUAUUCAAAAGAAGAUGGUAGUAGUAUAUCAAAGGGUAGGGGGGCCUGAAAACCCCUCAUUCAUAUAUAUGAGGUUCAUUCAACAUUAGAUUUCACUUGAUCCCAAAUUCCUUGGCUCUAAUAUUUUUGUUGAGACCUGGGAGAGAAUGCUAUGCUAUUACUCCUUACUUAUCUCUUUGUGGGGGGCCCAUUGAGAAUGUACUCUUCCUGACAUUACUUCAGAGUGUCACCCUGGAUAUUUUAUCCUAACUGGAGUUCAGAGUUCAAAAGUUUCCAAUGUGCCACUUCUAGGAAAAGCUUCAAUUCUGCUACAUAUUUUGGCUCAGGCCCAGAUUGGCUGCCGCGCUGUAACAAUAAGAACAACAACAAUUAAGAUUCAUUGAGCUCUUUUCACCAGAAACUUGUGCUAACAAUUUUACAUGUAUUAUCUUACAUAAUCAUCACAACAAGCAUUUCUAAGGGGUAGGUUAUGUUGUUAUGAACAUUUUACAUAAAUUAAGAUUUAUGUAAAUUAGGUUAAGUAAAUUUCCCAAGCUCAUUCAGCUAAAAAAAUGGCAGAGUUGGGAAAGGAAGGUGGAUCUGUCUGACUCCCUGUAACACAGCUGGCUGAUGUGAUGUAGCUCCCUGUAACACUGUUAGAGCCUAAAACCAGAACUAGAUCUACUAGAAUAUCCCUAUAACAGAAUGUCAAGGUUCCUGAAAAAGUUAUUAUCCACCUACUUCGCCUCUACUUAAGCAGACUGACAGCUGUGGUAUAGGUGAGGUAGAUAGAUAGAUAGAUAGAUAGAUAGAUAGAUAGAUAGAUAGAUAGAUAGAU